rfam:Buceros rhinoceros silvestris contig74569, whole genome shotgun sequence.
GUCAAGGCUUUUUUAAAAGCCAAAGUACAUUUAAUUUUAUUUCAUU